CAUACAUUUUACGCAUAUAUUGUUUUCUAUAUUUGCCUUCCAUUCUGUGUUUGCACGUUUUGCACGAGUGUUUUUAGCUCCACUGGCCAGAGGCCAGCGGGGCUUAUGUCAUGGUACUGUGUCCGUCGUACGUGCGUGCGUCCGUCCGUGCGUGAGUGCGUGCGUUAACUUUUUCUGUAGACAUCUUCUCAUAAACUACAAGUCCAAUUCUGAUAAAAAUUCUCACAAAUGUUACUGGGGUGAACCUCUUAGAAAUUUGUUCAAAUUAUGCUCCUGGGGUCAAAUUUGACCCCGCCUGGGGGGUUAAUAAAUUGAACAUAUGCUUAUAUAAAGACUAUUUUGUGCAAACUUUAAAAAAUCUUUUUGUCCUUAUCCAUUGGGCCUAGUGCUACCACAUUUGGUAUGUAGUGACAUCUAAUUCUCUACUUAGUUUGUUAAAAUUAUGCCCCUGGGGUCAAAUUUGACCCUGCCCUGGGCCACAACAAUGAACAUACGCUUAAAUAAGGCCUAUUUUGUGCAAACUUUAAAAAUCUUCUUGUCCAUAACCGUAUGGCAUAGGGCUACCAAAUUUGGUAUGUAGUGACAUCUAAUAGUCCUCUACCAAGUUUGUUCAAAUUAAGCCCCUGGGAUCAAAUUUGACCGUUCCCCAGGGGUCACAAAAUUAAACAUAUGCUUAUAUUGGGCCUAUUUUGUGCAAAAUUUAAAAAUCUUUUUGUCCAUAACCAUUGGGCCUAUUUCUACCAAAUUUGGUAUGUAUUAAAAUCUUAAAGUUCUCUACCAUGUUUUUCAAAUUAUGCCCCUGGGGUCAAAUUUGACCCUGCCCGGGGGUCACACAAAUGAACAUAUGCUUAAAUAAGGCCUAUUUUAUGCAAACUUUAAAAAUCAAUUGUUCAUAAUUAUAGAGCCUAGGGCUACUAAAUUUGGUAUGUAGUGACAUCUAAUAAUCCUCUACCAAAUUUGUUCAAAUUAUUCCCCUGGGCUCAAAUUUGACCCUGCCUCGGGGCUCACAAAACUGAACAUAUGCUUAUAUAAAGACUCCUUUGUGCAAACUUUAAAAAUCUUCCUGUCCAUAACCAUUGGGCCUAGGGCUACCAAAUUUGGUAUGUAGUGACAUCUUAUAAUUCCCUAUCAAAUUUGUUCAAAUUAUGCCCCUGGGGCCAAAUUUAUCCCUUGAGGGCUCCCAUUAAAAAGUUGUUCAAGAAAAUUUGAUUCGUCAAAAAACAUGGCCACAUGAAGUCGUUGAACUUUGCAUGUUUAUGCGUGUUUGCUAUUUAUUCAUUAUGGGAUGAAUAAACAAUUUUCUUCUCAAACUAAAAGUUUAUCAAAAUGCACUUGGAAUAACUUUUUAAUUAUAAGAGAUAAAUGCAUACAUGUCGAGCGUGAAAGGUAGACCAACAUGUUAACUAUCCAUAAAUGUUAACCCUUUACCAAAAGACACAUUUAAAAUUGAAAGAGAUUGCAGACGAGAAAUAAUAUUGUAAAGGACUAUUUAUAAAUUGGCUGGGUGGGGUAGAAAUCAUUGUGAUAAAAGGAGAAAUUGCUCAUCAUGAGCAAUUUCUCCUUUUUGAAACCGGAAGUCCUGUUUUCAAAACGAAAACAAACUCUUCAGAAGGAGUUAUGGUCUAUUGGCACGUCAAAUGGAAAAAGUAAAGGAAAGUUAGGUCAAGCUAAUUGUUUGUCAUGAUAUCUCUUUAAACCUCACGCCAUAUGCAAGCAGUGUUGCCAUGAUCGCAACAUCUUGAUGAAUUAUAAUUCAUUUUUUUGUCUCAUUAACAUUUACUUUGUUUAACAAACAACCUCUACAAAGUUAUCAUUCCUACUGCCUUUCGGCACCUCAUGAACCUGAAAAACUUGUAACUUUAUGUUUCCUCAGGCAAAUAUCUUCUUUGUACAAUAAACAAUUUCUUCACCACGUUAACAAUCCUGCUUCACUCACUUAUACCUCAAGAAUGAAGUAAAGUUCAGGUGAUCUACGUCAAUAGGUAUUUUGCAUAUGUCAUGAACUAUAUAAGUAACAGAAUCUUCGAAACCAACAAACACUUUUUUGAAUUUUGGAAAAAGAUUCAUGAUUGAAUGAAGGAACUUUCAUUAAUCUUGUAGAACAUGCGUAGUUUUGAUCUUCAGCAUCUAAAAAUAUGUGAAAUAGAAAGAACGACAAUAUCUUUUGGAGAGAUAAAUGUACCUACGUUAUAAGCAAAGGACCUGUGCGACAAUUCCCGGGCUUUUUAGUCUGUUUAGUUAACACCGUAGUAACGUUUUCAAUAUAUAAAAAUGCUCACCCUUCCAACUUUAAGCGCCCAGUGGGACGAGGGAUAGAAAGAGAAAGUCCCAUGCUUGAGUACAUUUCAACCCAUGCGCAUUGUACGCUUUUUUCGCAUAAAAAACAGUGGAGCGAUACAGGGCCAUCAUGGCCCUCUUGUUAUGAGACCAUGACUACUUACUGGGGUCAGAUCAAAACGAUUGACUCAUUUAUUCGUGUUAACGGUACUUUAAUAUAUCCAUGCAUAAAGGUCAGUACCAGGUUAAUACAAUUACUGGAGGUCAAUAGAUGCGUGUUGGAACAAGUUAAAACUUUAACUAACGUUCUUUUAGUGACAGUAAUAUAAUGGUGAUGUUGCAGUUGGAUUUUCUCUCUUCAACAUUUUUGUAACAUAAAACCAGAAUUAUUUGAAUUGUUGAAAUUUAAAUGAAACGUGGGCAUAAAACUUUUGUUUAUCUUAAAUUUGCAUUGUUAUUUAUUAUUUCAGCAAAGCUUAGAAACUAAUUGAGUGAAUAUAAUGCGAUUUUCCUACACCGCUGCAGCAGGGCAAACUUUCAUGGUUUUUGUUGAUGAUACUAUAACUAAGUUGAUCGUUCGUGUGCAGGCGGAGAGAUCACAACCUGUUGUAAUUGCAAUGACGCCAUCAGUGGUACCAUCUUCUUCAAGACCCACGUAUAUCGGAUCUGCGUCCGCAGGAUCGGUUGUAGCUCUUCUAGAAAUCAACAUCACACAGGCAUCCGAUUACGGGAUUUGGAAAAUUAUGAAAAUGGACAAUCUUAUAUGAGACGUCACCAUUCAGGCUACAAGUCAAGUGGAUUUCACACACAAAUUUGUAGAGACUGGGAUGGGUGGUUCUGGAGAAUACGAAAUAAAGGGACGACCAAUCUCCGGGGCAACGUACAAAAUGGUUGUUGAGGUACCUGAAUACGGAAAGGUUUCCACGGUGAUGUCAAUUUUACUAAUGACACGGGACAGCUUAAAUCCUUAAGGUUUUGGUAGGUUGCAAAAUGUUGGCGGAAGAAGAGGAAAUACCAUUUUCAUCGCCACUAUUACAAUUCCCGAUGAGGAACUUUACAUAGCCACAGACCAUAAGUUUCGAUGAUCGUUUAUGGUUGCAAUACAAGGACAAGACAAUUCAUCCCCAACAAAACAUUACUUUCGAAGAGUGGACCAAAACCUCAUUACACCUGUCACCUUACGCUUGAUCAUACCACCGCUCACAGGGGUGACACUGUGGGCCAACGAGACGUUAGACAUUCCAUUCACGGUACAGAACGCUGGUGCCGUUGACUAGGAUAUCGACGUGAGAAUUGAGGACGACCAGCAUUUCGCUUUGGACCCGAACAUUCACAGCUUCAGUUUAAAGCCUGGUAUGAACGAGACCGGACAGUAUACAAUCCAGGGCGGACCGAGAGGUGGUGUUACAACACAACAAGAAUGACCCAAUCAAUCACCACUACGAAGUUAAAAACAACUUUUUCGCCACCUGCGACAUCUUCAAAUGUGUCUACAGCUGUCCUUUCAACGUCGUCAUCGCAAUUAACAGGAUCCACAAAAGCAAAUGCAAGCGGAAACCCCGGGUCAUCAACUUCUGCAACGGGAGGUACACAAUUCCCUGCAGGCACCGCUAAUUAAUCAAGUGUUUCACAAUCAGCCUCCAGCACGUCUCAUUCACAAGCCCCCGCGGGAACGCCAAAAUCGGGCGAUACACAAUCUUCGCCCGGAGCAUUAACUGCGUCAAGUUUGCCGCAGUCUGGCGCAACACAGGCUCCGUAAGGAACGCCACAAUUGGGUGCUACAACGCAACAAGUUGGUUCUACAACACAACAAGUGGAUUCUACAACGCAAAAAGUGGGUGCUACAAUAAAACAAGUGGGUGUAACAACGCAACAUGUGGGUGCUACAAUGCAACGAUUUGGUGCUACAACGCAACAAGUGGGUGAUACAAUGCAAAAUAUGGAUGCCACAAUGCAACAAGUGGGUGCAACAACGCAACAAGUGAGUGCUAAAAUGCAAAACGUUGAUUCUACAAUGCAACGUGUGGGCCUUACAACGCCACAAGUGGGUGCAACAAAGGAACAAGUGGGUGCUAAAACACAACAAGUGGAUGCUACAGUGCAACAAGUGGGUGCUACAACGCCACGAUCAGACGCUACAAUGCAACAAUUCCGUUCUACUCAGACCACAGCACCCAUCAUUAGGCCAUGGUUUGGGCGUCGGAGUAGUGAUAGGUGCGUGAUGACCUUGGUGAAAACUUGUUUUCCAGACUUCUAAUUUGCUAUGAAGUUGUGAUGUCUUGGAGUCAGUAACUAAGAUCAGUAACACGUUGUUGUUGCUGUUCUUAGUGAUCAAUGAAAUUUCUUGUUUAGCAAAUAUAAAUGAGUGUUGUUUAUUAAACAAUUUCACGCCACACACGCAUGGCUUAUUCAAUUAAUGCAGCAACCAUUCUUAAAUAGUAGAAUAUUGUGCUUACAAAACUUAAAAGCAAACAACUCUUUCACCUUGAAAACUGUUCAUUUAUUGUUAAGAUCUUCAGGUUAAGAUUAAAAUGGAACACAAUUAUACAAGAACUUUCUAUUAUUUUAGUUUGCUUUUUUGUUCACUAGUCAUAAAAUUGUGAGCAUGUUCCUUUUCCAUGGAGAGCAGAUUAUGAUUUUUAUUGCGGCUUACCCCCACACAAUACAUUUAGUUUAUUAAAUGGUGGAGAACUUA